UACGUAGGGGGCGAGCGUUAAUCGGAAUUACUGGGCGUAAAGCGCGCGCAGGCGGUUUUGUAAGUCUGGCGUGAAAUCCCCGGGCUUAACCUGGGAAUUGCGUUGGAGACUGCAAGGCUGGAGUCUGGCAGAGGGGGGUAGAAUUCCACGUGUAGCAGUGAAAUGCGUAGAGAUGUGGAGGAACACCGAUGGCGAAGGCAGCCCCCUGGGUCAAGACUGACGCUCAUGCACGAAAGCGUGGGGAGCAAACAGG
rnacentral:rRNA from 1 species